rnacentral:snRNA from 1 species
CGACAUCCAGGCCGAUUCGUAUUGAUGAGGUGCAGAGAAGUUUAGCAUGGCGCCUGCGCAAGGAUGACACGCAAAUUCGUGAACCGUAUUUU